rnacentral:rRNA from 1 species
CCGCCAAGGGGGGACGGUUAAGUGGCGGACGCGGGUGAUUAACGCAUGGGGUAAAUCGGCCGGAGAGGUGGGGAAUAACCCCUCCGAAAGGGGGGACUAAUACGGUAUAAGACCACGUCCCGACGGGGGAUGCGGUCAAAAGUGGCCUCUGCUUGCAAGAUAUUGCUCUUCGAUGAGCCCAUGUCCCAUCAGUUAGUUGGCGGGGUAAUGGCCCACCAAGGCGAUGACGGGUAGCUGGUCUGGAGAGGACGACCAGCCACACUGGCACUGAGACACGGGCCAGACUCCUACGGGAGGCAGCAGUGGGGAAUAUUGGACAAUGGGCGCAAGCCUGAUGCAGCGACGCCGCGUGAGGGAUGAAUGCCUUCGGGUUGUAAACCUCUUUCAGCAGGGAAGAAGCGAAAGUGACGGUACCUGCAGAAGAAGCGCCGGCUAACUACGUGCCAGCAU